ensembl:misc_RNA
CAGAUGGCUUUAGAGACUGAAAUAUUCAGAACAGUUACAACACUUCCAGUACCAGUGCAAACUUCCCUACAUUAAUCUACCACUGUGCCUCAUUCCCAGCCUUCAGGGGCCAUCUCUUGGCAUGAAAAGGUAGUUCAGUCUCCAAGCCCAUUCAGUCCUUGGUCUCU